rnacentral:rRNA from 1 species
AACGAACGCUGGCGGCAUGCCUAACACAUGCAAGUCGAACGAGGCUUCGGCCUAGUGGCGGACGGGUGAGUAACGCGUAGGAACCUGCCGAGUAGUGGGGGAUAACAGCUGGAAACGGCUGCUAAUACCGCAUACGCCCUUUUGGGGGAAAGAUUUAUCGCUAUUUGAGGGUCCUGCGUUCGAUUAGCUAGUUGGCGGGGUAACGGCCCACCAAGGCGACGAUCGAUAGCUGGUCUGAGAGGAUGAUCAGCCACACUGGGACUGAGACACGGCCCAGACUCCUACGGGAGGCAGCAGUGGGGAAUAUUGGACAAUGGGGGAAACCCUGAUCCAGCAAUGCCGCGUGCGUGAAGAAGGCCUUAGGGUUGUAAAGCGCUUUCACCUGUGACGAUGAUGACGGUAG